GGAAUACAGCCAGCCUGCGCACACAAGGCCAUCCCCAGAGCUCACAUCACUUUCGUCAUUGACUGUGCAACUGGGAAACGAGUCUCCCUGGCAGCACCCGCGGUGCCACCCCAAGCCUCAAGAACCAACCAGGGAUGUGUCACCCCACCCAUGAAGACCUUUGUUAUGUUCUGUGGGAAAACACCACUGCCUGGGACUCAGGACGUUUCCCUCGGUCUCGGACCCCUUGAUGGAGCCAAGGAUACCUUGCCACCUUAUGGAGGACUUGGGGCUCCAGAUUCCCUCCCUACCAGCCUACCCGGUCCCCAGAAUGAUCCUAAAGCCAAGACAGGCACUACUGAAAAGCGUUUGACUCGGGAGAAGGUCAAGCACUCACUGAGGGCUCUGGCCUGUCUCUGCGGGCAGGUGGAGUAGUUUGGUGGGAUCUGUCAGGGGUGGGGGCAGGGAGUGGCUGGGAAUUUGGGAGUCUUUGGGGCCUGAAGCCAAGGAGACAUUACUAGAUGCAGCAAAGGACUUAAGAGCCAGUUAGGCCUCUGUCCUUUUCCUUCUCCUGUGCCUCGCUCUCAGCUGGGGCCAGGCCUGAUACCAACGUGCUGCGGCCUGUCACGGUUUUCUCGAAGCUUGGAAGGGGAGAAGGGUUGAACAAGUGACCAAAUAAAUAAAAGUUGUGGGUUUUGAGCAG
rnacentral:lncRNA from 1 species